rnacentral:rRNA from 1 species
GAUGAACGCUGGCGGCGUGCCUAAUACAUGCAAGUCGAGCGAACAGACGAGGAGCUUGCUCCUCUGACGUUAGCGGCGGACGGGUGAUUAACACGUGUAUAACCUACCUAUAAGACUGGGAUAACUUCGGGAAACCGGAUCUAAUACCGGAUAAUAUAUUGAACCGCAUGGUUCAAUAGUCAAAGACGGUUUUGCUGUCACUUAUAGAUGGAUCCGCGCCGCAUUAGCUAGUUGGUAAGGUAACGGCUUACCAAGGCAACGAUGCGUAGCCGACCUGAGAGGGUGAUCGGCCACACUAGAACUGAGACACGGUCCAGACUCCUACGGGAGGCAGCAGUAGGGAAUCUUCCGCAAUGGGCGAAAGCCUGACGGAGCAACGCCGCGUGAGUGAUGAAGGUCUUCGGAUCGUAAAACUCUGUUAUUAGGGAAGAACAAAUGUGUAAGUAACUAUGCACGUCUUGACGGUACCUAAACAGAAAGCCACGGCUAACUACGUG